AGGGUUUUUGCUUUUGUUCUCCUUCUCCCCCUCCCCUUUCGGUUUUUCCUUCUCCUGCAGGUAUGUGAGUGGCAGGGGGUGUGGCUGGCUUCCUCAGCAGCAGACGAGGCACACCUGGCUCCACUUGACUAAUCAUCCUGUCCAUAAAAGCCUGGUCUUCACUCCACUACUCUGCCAGAUAAUUCUGUCUUUUUGGGUACUCCGGUGUGCCUCACUGUUUCGACUGAACCCUGCCUGUGUUCCCUGCAUUGCCAUCAGGAUCACCUUUUCUGGCCAGCCAGCUCCCUACCUUCACUGCCUGUUUUGUUUUUGAACAUUAAAUGGCUUAUUUUUACAUUAUUUACCUGCUUCAGUCAUGCCUGGGGGUUUCUUGUAUAUCAUGUUUCCCGUUUUAUUUUGUAGUUAUUGAAGCAUUUUAAUAUGGGCAUCAACUAAGCAGAAACAUCUAGUGUUAAAAAUGAAGCCAAUGCAGAAGUGCAAAAAACUGCGGUUCCUUGAGUGUCCACUUGAUGCCGACCCAAAAAGCAAAGGAAUCUCCAUCUGAAAGUUAACUGCUAGUUACCCUUGAGUUGAGGAAGCCCAUACAGUACAUCCUUAACAAAUGAAGUCACUGUUUUGCUCAGGGACACCAGCACAGUCACUUUAAGGGUGCUACGACCCCCUGCUGCCAAAGAAACUCUGACUUCAGGGACUCUGCUGCAUUAAGAAGAGCUAUUUACAGUUUUUUAGCCCAAUUUUUCAAACACUUACAUGUUUGCAUCCUAAAUGUUGUUCAUUGUGAAGAACAGCGCCAAGUCACUUUUCACCUGAAAAAGCCGUCUGACAGUUCUUCAUUUUCAAAAAAGGGGUGUUUCAUUAUGAAGCAAUUUAUGUGGAAAUGAAAGUUGCAGAAACAUUUGCAUCUCUAUGGGUUUUCUUAUAAUUGAUUUCUUUCUCUGUAAUACAAAUUGUGAAAAUGUCAAGCUUGAUCGGCAUGAAGAGCUUUGCAUCCAGCCCAUCAGUCACGCUUUAAGCAUAAAGUCCUUUAAAAUCUGCACUUGCAUGAAAAAAAAAAAAUGCAUGAAAAAAAUGCAAUGUUAUGUCGGACUAAUUGGGGAGGCAGAUUUUCUUUGUGGCACAUUUAUUUUUUGUGAAGACUUUUUAUUCACUUUGCUGCCACCUCUGUGCUCUGUUGUUUUGUUCAAAGGAUCAUAAACAAGGUCCCUUUAGGACAGGAAUAUU